rnacentral:lncRNA from 1 species
GUCCCAGGGAAGCAGAGGAGGACAGAACAGAGGAAAAGUAGGAAGGCUGAUGAGCUUCAGGUGGGGGAGCUUGUCAGGGAAACCUUCUUAGGAAGUAGGACUUCUGACUGGACUUUGAAAAACAAGUACGAGUUCAGUUUUGCUCCCAUGGUCAAGUGAAAAUUGUGCUGUAGGCAGAGGACACAGAAUUCAAAGAAAAAGUUUGAAGUCAUCUGUAUGUACAGCAUGUCAGUAGCUCAGUGUGGCUGGGGAGGAGUGGGGUGGUGGAAUGUGUGUAGGGGAUAUUUGCACAAGGCCUUCCGAAGAGCUAGGCCUUAUCUGGAGAGCAGUUGGGCUACAAACAGGGUGUGUCAUAGGAAGAUUUGCUCUUUGAGAAUGUUCCUUGGUUAUUGAGUAAGAUGUGGCCAAGAGGGGCAGGGAGGCCAGCUGAGUGACGCUAACAUAAUCCAGAUGAGAAGUGAGGAUGCCUGAGGAAUGGUGGUGGAUACUGCAAUGAAAACAUGGUAACACAUUUAAGAAUUAUUUAACAAGAUUUGGUGAUUGCAUGUCUUGACUAUAGGGGAGGGAAGUUCCUGGUUUAGGAGGCUUAGGGCUUGUGUGGGGUCAUUUGCCGAGAGGGACCCUGAGGGAAGAGCAGAUUGGGGGUGGGGGAGUUGAGUUUGAAUAUGUUUCCAAGCAUGCUUGCUUUGAGGGCCCGAGAAACCUCCAGGGGAGAUGUCCUAGAGGCAGAUGGCUUUAUGGCUCUGAAGUUGGACAUGUGGCAUCAAGAAAUCCCAGGAAUUGCUAUGUUCUCUGGAUGGACAGCAAAAAGAGCUUGAGGCUGAGCAGAGGAGGAAGACAAUCCAAAGACAACAAUGACCCAGGAUGGAGUACGGGCAGGUUGGAUGCAGGAUGGCUAGCUGCCACUGACCUGGGCAGAGAGUUGGGUCUUUGCAGGAAACAUCAUUGAUUGUGCCUGAAGCUUGCUGAGAGCUGUGCUAGGAGCUCCACAGAAAAGAUGGAAUGAAGAGCCUUCUACUAUGCCUGGGAGGAGGUGGGUGAUUGCUUCCUCUGGGAUUUUUAU